rnacentral:rRNA from 1 species
AUUGAACGCUGGCGGCAGGCCUAACACAUGCAAGUCGAACGAGUGGCGGACGGGUGAGUAAUGUCUGGGAAACUGCCCGAUGGCGGGGGAUAACUACUGGAAAGGGUAGCUAAUACCGCAUACCAUCGGUUAUGCCCAGAUGGGAUUAGCUAGUAGGUGGGGUAACGUCUCACCUAGGCGGCGAACCCUAGCUGGUCUGAGAGGAUGACCAGCCACACUGGAACGGAGACACGGUCCAGACUCCUACGGGAUGCAGCAGUGGGGAAUAUUGCACAAUGGGCGCAAGCCUGAUUCAGCCCUGCCGCGUGUAUGAAGAAGGCCUGCGGGUUGUAAAGUAAUUUCAGCGAGGAGGCGUUACCCGCAGAAGAAGCCCCGGCUAACUCCGUGCCAGCAGCCGCGGUAAUAC